ensembl:snRNA U6 U6 spliceosomal RNA
GGGCUCACUUCGGUAACACAUAAACUAAAAUUGGAACAAUGUAGAGAAGACUGGCAUGGCCUCUGCACAAGGAUGACAAGUAAAUUCAUCAAGUAUUCCAUAUUUGG